GCCCGAAGUACCAGAGGAAGCAUACUUGGUUUCUGGCAGCAUCUAAAAGGAAAAGGAAACAUUCUGCAUUUCUGAGUCAGGAUUCAGAAAGGAGGAUGACUCAACAGAACCUCAUGCAGCUCUGUAGCAACACCCACAGGGAGCGGGCAUUCUGGGAAGGAAAGUGCAUGAUCUCAUUAUGGGGUUAUUAUUCCUCCUACCUCUUUAGCAUGGCGGAUGAUGUAAAAGAAUGUGAGGACGGGAAUGCAAUGGCAGAGUCCCACAGAUAAAUAUGUCAAAACACAUCAGAAUUUCUGAGCCUAUGGUGGAACCUGCAUUGCAAGCAAGCUGCUAGGUCACACGAUUACCAAGUGAUCGUGUAUAAACAAGAGGGUGUUUUAUGCUGAUAAAUGGACUCCCACUGUCGCAUACGGCCCCGGGAGUCUGCAUUAACAACAAGCUGAGACAAAGAAGAGAACAUGGCAUUCAUUUUAACAGUGGGCAUUUAUCAUUGGUGACAUUACCUGAUACGGCUGAUAAUCUAAAGCAUUACGACUUCUGAACAAAAUCUGAUUCAUAAAGACAUAUAAGGAGAUAAACCAUGACAACUAAUAGGAAUUUCCUGGACUGCUGCAAAUGGAAUAAUCUUAUCUAUAUUCAUCAGCUAGCCAGCUCUCUCCUCCCACUAAAAAGGAGACAAGGUACAUUCACAACUCCUAUUAGUGCUAAUAGCGGCUUUAGAAGCAAAUACCUUGUUCCUCCACAGGAAAGGACACCAGCCCGCCUUUGUUCCAAUAUCCUGCAAUCUUGUGUCAGUUGGAGUUAAUUGGUGGAAAUCUGGGAUACAAGCAAUUUGGAACUAAUCUCUAAAAAUGAUGGCCAGGGCAGCUGACAGUAGCAGUGACUGGCUCCAAAGCAGAUAGGGUUUUCUUUGUUGGCCUGAAGCUCUGCCAUCAACUUGUUUUCACUUCUUUCACCAGCCUCUCUGGACAAACUGCACAGGAAGGCUGUGGAUAAGGAACAAUCUCAGGGAUUCAUUCUUGCACGAUACAAUGGGCCUCUGAGACAGAAGAAGUAAAUUUGGCCAUUCAUCUAGUUUGUGGAGGUUGGCAAGUAGUUUUGAUAUCUCUGCAUCCUUACUUCGUCUUUAGUCAUAUCAAUCGUCCACCUAGGUGUGCUAGUACCUGCCUGUAACCCCAAUAUUCAAGACAUUGAGACAGGAGGAUUAUUGAGUUUGAAGCCAAUUAUACUCUAUAGGAAAAC
rnacentral:lncRNA from 1 species